UGGGGAAUUUUGGACAAUGGGCGAAAGCCUGAUCCAGCAAUGCCGCGUGUGUGAAGAAGGCCUUCGGGUUGUAAAGCACUUUUGUCCGGAAAGAAAUCCUUGGCUCUAAUACAGUCGGGGGAUGACGGUACCGGAAGAAUAAGCACCGGCUAACUACGUGCCAGCAGCCGCGGUAAUACGUAGGGUGCAAGCGUUAAUCGGAAUUACUGGGCGUAAAGCGUGCGCAGGCGGUUUGCUAAGACCGAUGUGAAAUCCCCGGGCUCAACCUGGGAACUGCAUUGGUGACUGGCAGGCUAGAGUAUGGCAGAGGGGGGUAGAAUUCCACGUGUAGCAGUGAAAUGCGUAGAGAUGUGGAGGAAUACCGAUGGCGAAGGCAGCCCCCUGGGCCAAUACUGACGCUCAUGCACGAAAGCGUGGGGAGCAAACAGGAUUAGAUACCCUGGUAGUCCACGCCCUAAACGAUGUCAGCUAGUUGUUGGGGAUUCAUUUCCUUAGUAACGUAGCUAACGCGUGAAGUUGACCGCCUGGGGAGUACGGUCGCAAGAUUAAAACUCAAAUGAAUUGACGGGGUCAUAGCUGUUUCCU
rnacentral:rRNA from 1 species